AUUGAACGCUGGCGGCAGGCCUAACACAUGCAAGUCGAGCGGAUGAAGGGAGCUUGCUCCUGGAUUCAGCGGCGGACGGGUGAGUAAUGCCUAGGAAUCUGCCUGGUAGUGGGGGAUAACGUCCGGAAACGGGCGCUAAUACCGCAUACGUCCUGAGGGAGAAAGUGGGGGAUCUUCGGACCUCACGCUAUCAGAUGAGCCUAGGUCGGAUUAGCUAGUUGGUGGGGUAAAGGCCUACCAAGGCGACGAUCCGUAACUGGUCUGAGAGGAUGAUCAGUCACACUGGAACUGAGACACGGUCCCGGCUCCUACGGGAGGCAGCAGUGGGGAAUAUUGGACAAUGGGCGAAAGCCUGAUCCAGCCAUGCCGCGUGUGUGAAGAAGGUCUUCGGAUUGUAAAGCACUUUAAGUUGGGAGGAAGGGCAGUAAGUUAAUACCUUGCUGUUUUGACGUUACCAACAGAGUAAGCACCGGCUAACUUCGUG
rnacentral:rRNA from 1 species